rnacentral:misc_RNA from 1 species
AAUUACCCAAGUUUGAGG